UCUUCAUUGACCUCUCACCCUUCACAUCCACAUACACCUGUGCACCGUUUGGCUCUUAUAAAAGACGCAAGUCUGCAAUGAGAGUCAUCAAUUUUAUACAUACCCCAGUCUUAUGAAUGUAACAGUUUUAAUAAACAUAAUAAAACUUUUAACAACGGAUCUCUUGGUUCUCGCAUCGAUGAAGAACGCAGCGAAAUGCGAUAAGUAAUGUGAAUUGCAGAAUUCAGUGAAUCAUCGAAUCUUUGAACGCACCUUGCGCUCCUUGGUAUUCCGAGGAGCAUGCCUGUUUGAGUGUCAUGAAACUCUCAACCUUCAACUUUUUUAUUAAGGCUGAAGGCUUGGACUUGAGCGCUGCUGGUUUUCAUUAACCGGCUCGCUUGAAAUGAAUUAGCAGAUCCUUUUUGUAAUCGGUUCCACUCGACGUGAUAAGUAUUUCGCCGAGGACAUACGAAAGUAUGGCCGAGAUAAAGAAAGUCUUUAGAUCCGCUUCUAAUUCUUAGAUAGAGCUUGCUCUACUAAACCCCAUUUUAUGAUCUGGCCUCAAAUCAGGUAGGACUACCCGCUGAACUUAAGCAUAUCAAUAAGCGGAGGAAAAGAAACUAACAAGGAUUCCCCUAGUAACGGCGAGUGAAGCGGGAUGAGCUCAAAUUUAAAAUCUGG
rnacentral:sRNA from 1 species